CCCCACUAUGCCCAGCCAUAAACUUUUACUUACACUCGAAUCGCCUGGGAACUACGAGCAAAGCUUAAAACCCAAAGGACUUGACGGUACCCCACAUCCACCUAGAGGAGCCUGUCCUAUAAUCGAUACCCCCCGUUCAACCUCACCACUUCUAGCCUAUCAGCCUGUAUACCUCCGUCCUCAGCUUACCCCGUGAGUGAAAUCUAGUAAGCCUAAUGCCCCUACGCCAACACGUCAGGUCAAGGUGCAGCAAAUGAAGUGGGAAGAGAUGGGCUACACUCUCUAACAUAGAAAAUACGAAAGACUACCUAUGAAACCUAGUCGGAAGGCGGAUUUAGAAGUAAAAAGAAAACAGCAUGUUCUUUUUAACCCGGCACUGGGGUGUGUACACACCGCCCG
rnacentral:rRNA from 1 species